UACGGAGGGAGCUAGCGUUGUUCGGAAUUACUGGGCGUAAAGCGCACGUAGGCGGCUUUGUAAGUUAGAGGUGAAAGCCCGGGGCUCAACCCCGGAAUUGCCUUUAAGACUGCGUCGCUUGAAUCCGGGAGAGGUGAGUGGAAUUCCGAGUGUAGAGGUGAAAUUCGUAGAUAUUCGGAAGAACACCAGUGGCGAAGGCGGCUCACUGGACCGGCAUUGACGCUGAGGUGCGAAAGCGUGGGGAGCAAACAGG
rnacentral:rRNA from 1 species